CCAAACUUGGUCAUUUAGAGGAAGUAAAAGUCGUAACAAGGUUUCCGUAGGUGAACCUGCGGAAGGAUCAUUAUUGAAUUAUGUUUUCUGGAUGAGUUGUAGCUGGCUCUCAGGAGCAUGUGCACGCCUGUCUGGACUUCAUUUUCAUCCACCUGUGCACCUAUUGUAGUCUUUGUUGGGUUAUGGAGGAAGUGGCCAGCCUAUCAGCUCUCGCUGGAUAUGAGGUCUUGCGGUGUGAAAGCAGUGCUGUCUUCUACUUGGCCAUGGAAUCUGUUUCCUAUCAGGGUCUAUGUUUUUCAUUAUACCCUAUAAACUGUUAUUGAAUGUGUUGACAUGGGCUUCUAUGCCUAUGAAAAUUGUAAUACAACUUUCAGCAACGGAUCUCUUGGCUCUCGCAUCGAUGAAGAACGCAGC
rnacentral:misc_RNA from 1 species